AUUUUUUUUCCCUCCCUCUCAGUCUCUCACGCUUUCACUAUCGUGUUUUUCUCCCCAAACCCUUAAACAAUUUCUACGGUUCUACCUCUCUUCCGUCGGCUCCAUCCUCUUCGUCGUUCUCCUUCAUCCUUUUCAUCAUCUUUCUUUGAUCCAACUAAUUGGAUAUCUGCGUUUCGGAAUCGCCGAUGGGUCUUUGAAUUAGAGAUAAUAAAAAUUGGUGAAUUGUGUUUCUGAAUUGGCGAGAAGAACAAGUUGUAGGUCAGUAAUUAAACUGAUGGCCACUCCAUAUUACUCUAAAAGUCACCCUACCAUUGAAAUUCACCAAGUACAGGGACUCUGAAAAGAUGGUUUUUGAGCGUUUGCAGAAAGAAUUUGAAGUUACACUCAUCUCAAACUCAAGGUUCGAGAUGGUUCUUUAUAUCAAGGAACUGUGAUGUCAAUGGACCCAAAUGAGGGUACUUUUGUACUGCACUGUGAGGUCACUAAGGGUAAAAUCAAGCAUGUGGAUUAAGUUAAUGUUCCUGGACACUUACUUCUUCGGCCUAAGCUUGAUGAGUAUAUGCCCCAGGUAUUUGUACGAUAUCCUAACCAAGGCCAGUGUUGUAAAGAAGAGAAUUCCUUUACUAAUUGUUUGCAAUGAAACUAAGAAAGUGACAACACAUUCGAAAGAUUUUAUUCGCUAGCAACAUGGAGAAAGAUAAGUGAGACUUCAUUUCUUUUGUCUUAAAAUUUCAGAUUUGCCCCCUCCUACUAGACAGCAAUAGGAUGAAUUUAUUCAAAUUACAAAAUACUCUUGGCUGGUUUGCCGCAUUGUAAAUUAUGUCCACCAAUCACCUCAGGCAUUAGAUCAAUUUUAAACGAAUGUUUGUCGCAUUUUUCACUUUCACUAUCAUUUUAAGUUACAGACUUUUGUAAUAGAUAAGCUACAAUAGAUGUCUUAAUGAAUUCACAUGAGACAUUAUGUACUGAAAAAAGUUACUCUUUUCCCAUUAUUAAGGUUUAUCUUUUGACAUUCA